GACGAACGCUGGCGGCGUGCCUAAUACAUGCAAGUCGAACGCACAGUUUAUACCGUAGCUUGCUACACCAUAGACUGUGAGUUGCGAACGGGUGAGUAACGCGUAGGUAACCUGCCUGGUAGCGGGGGAUAACUAUUGGAAACGAUAGCUAAUACCGCAUAAUAUUAAUUAUUGCAUGAUAAUUAAUUGAAAGGUGCAAUUGCACCACUACCAGAUGGACCUGCGUUGUAUUAGCUAGUAGGUGAGGUAACGGCGCACCUAGGCGACGAUACAUAGCCGACCUGAGAGGGUGAUCGGCCACACUGGGACGGUGACACGGCCCAGACUCCUACGGGAGGCAGCAGUAGGGAAUCUUCGGCAAUGGACGAAAGUCUGACCGAGCAACGCCGCGUGAGUGAAGAAGGUUUUCGGAUCGUAAAGCUCUGUUGUAAGAGAAGAACGGGUGUGAGAGUGGAAAGUUCACACUGUGACGGUAACUGACCAGAAAGGGACGGCUAACUACGUG
rnacentral:rRNA from 1 species